rnacentral:rRNA from 1 species
CUACGGGGGGCAGCAGUGGGGAAUAUUGGACAAUGGGGGAAACCCUGAUCCAGCAAUGCCGCGUGUGUGAAGAAGGCCUGCGGGUUGUAAAGCACUUUCGGUUGGGAGAACUGCUUCUAGCACUAAUAUUGUUGGAAGUUGACGUUACCUUCAGAAGAAGCACCGGCUAGCUCCGUGCCAGCAGGCCGCGGUAAUACGGAGGGUGCAAGCGUUAAUCGGAAUUACUGGGCGUAAAGCGCGCGUAGGCGGCUAGAUCAGUCGGGUGUGAAAGCCCCGGGCUUAACCUGGGAACUGCAUCCGAUACUGUCUAGCUUGAGUACAGGAGAGGAGAGUGGAAUUCCACAUGUAGCGGUGAAAUGCGUAGAUAUGUGGAGGAACACCAAUGGCGAAGGCAGCUCUCUGGCCUGAUACUGACGCUGAGGUGCGAAAGCGUGGGGAGCAAACAGGAUUAGAUACCCCGGUAGUC